ACGCUGGCGGCGUGCUUAACACAUGCAAGUCGAACGAAGAUAUUUAGAAUGAGAGCUUCGGCAGGAUUUUUAUCUAUCUUAGUGGCGGACGGGUGAGUAACGUGUGGGCAACCUGCCCUGUACUGUGGAAUAAUCAUUGGAAACGAUGACUAAUACCGCAUGUGGUCCUCGGAAGGCAUCUUCUGAGGAAGAAAGGAUUUAUUCGGUACAGGAUGGGCCCGCAUCUGAUUAGCUAGUUGGUGAGAUAACAGCCCACCAAGGCGACGAUCAGUAGCCGACCUGAGAGGGUGAUCGGCCACAUUGGGACUGAGACACGGCCCAAACUCCUACGGGAGGCAGCAGUGGGGAAUAUUGCACAAUGGGCGAAAGCCUGAUGCAGCAACGCCGCGUGAAGGAUGAAGGGUUUCGGCUCGUAAACUUCUAUCAAUAGGGAAGAAACAAAUGACGGUACCUAAAUAAGAAGCCCCGGCUAACUACGUGCCAGCAGCCGCGGUAAUACGUAGGGGGCAAGCGUUAUCCGGAAUUACUGGGUGUAAAGGGAGCGUAGGCGGCAUGGUAAGCCAGAUGUGAAAGCCUUGGGCUUAACCCGAGGAUUGCAUUUGGAACUAUCAAGCUAGAGUACAGGAGAGGAAAGCGGAAUUCCUAGUGUAGCGGUGAAAUGCGUAGAUAUUAGGAAGAACACCAGUGGCGAAGGCGGCUUUCUGGACUGAAACUGACGCUGAGGCUCGAAAAGCGUGGGGAGCAAACAGGAUUAGAUACCCUGGUAGUCCACGCCGUAAACGAUGAGUGCUAGGUGUCGGGGAGGAAUCCUCGGUGCCGCAGCUAACGCAAUAAGCACUCCACCUGGGGAGUACGACCGCAAGGUUGAAACUCAAAGGAAUUGACGGGGGCCCGCACAAGCGGUGGAGCAUGUGGUUUAAUUCGAAGCAACGCGAAGAACCUUACCAAGGCUUGACAUCCCGAUGACCGUCCUAGAGAUAGGACUUCUCUUCGGAGCAUCGGUGACAGGUGGUGCAUGGUUGUCGUCAGCUCGUGUCGUGAGAUGUUGGGUUAAGUCCCGCAACGAGCGCAACCCUUAUCUUCAGUAGCCAUCAUUCAGUUGGGCACUCUGGAGAGACUGCCGUGGAUAACACGGAGGAAGGUGGGGAUGACGUCAAAUCAUCAUGCCCCUUAUGUCUUGGGCUACACACGUGCUACAAUGGCUGGUAACAAAGUGACGCGAGACGGCGACGUUAAGCAAAUCACAAAAACCCAGUCCCAGUUCGGAUUGUAGUCUGCAACUCGACUACAUGAAGCUGGAAUCGCUAGUAAUCGCGAAUCAGCAUGUCGCGGUGAAUACGUUCCCGGGCCUUGUACACACCGCCCGUCACACCAUGGGAGUUGGAAGCACCCGAAGUCGGUGACCUAACCGUAAGGAAGGAGCCACCGAAGGUGAAGCCAGUGAC
rnacentral:rRNA from 1 species